UGCCUUAAAGUGUUACCUGUUCAUUGCCGGUCAGAUGAAUGCGGUGUCAAAUAGGGCAGACAUUAACUCACAAGAUGGCUGCUGAAAGGCGUUUACAUCUAUGCCUUUCGGAGUUUCAUUUUAUGGACAUUU